rnacentral:rRNA from 1 species
GACGAACGCUGGCGGCGUGCUUAACACAUGCAAGUCGAACGGAAAGGCCCUGCUUUUGUGGGGUGCUCGAGUGGCGAACGGGGGAGUAACACGUGAGUAACCUGUCCUUGACUGUGGGAUAACUUCAGGAAACUGGGGCUAAUACCGGAUAGGAGCUCCUGCUGCAUGGUGGGGGUUGGAAAGAUUCGGCGGUUGGGGAUGGACUCGCGGCUUCUCAGCUUGUUGGUGGGGUAGGGGCUUACCAAGGCUUUGACGGGUAGCCGACCUGAGAGGGGGACCUGCGCCAUUAGGCCUGCGGUACGGACCAGACUCCAAUCGGACGCAAGGGUGGAGAGUAUUACCCAGCGGGGCGGAGCGUGGUAGGACGACGCCGCGUGCGGGAAAACGGGCUUGUGGUUGUAAACAGAUUUCGCCUGAGCCGGGGCGAUAGUGACGGUACCGGGUAAAGAAGCCCCGGCUAACUACGUG